rnacentral:rRNA from 1 species
AUUGAACGCUAGCGGCAGGCCUAACACAUGCAAGUCGAGGGGCAGCAUAAAAUAAACUUGUUUAUUUGGUGGCGACCGGCGCACGGGUGCGUAACGCGUAUGCAACCUACCUUAUACAAAGGGAUAGCCCGGAGAAAUUCGGAUUAAUACCUUAUAGUAUCUAAUUAUAGCAUUAUAAUAAGAUUAAAGCUUUGGCGGUAUAAGAUGGGCAUGCGUCCAAUUAGCUAGAUGGUGAGGUAACGGCUCACCAUGGCGACGAUUGGUAGGGGGCCUGAGAGGGUGGUCCCCCACACUGGUACUGAGACACGGACCAGACUCCUACGGGAGGCAGCAGUGAGGAAUAUUGGUCAAUGGGCGCAAGCCUGAACCAGCCAUGCCGCGUGAAGGAUGAAGGUUCUAUGGAUUGUAAACUUCUUUUAUUUGGGAAUAAACCUCUUUACGUGUAGAGAGCUGAAGGUACCAAAUGAAUAAGCACCGGCUAACUCCGUGCCAGCAGCCGCCGUAAUAC